GUAGAAGCGCAUGCGCAGUGAGAGCGGUCGCUUCAGGGUAGCAUGUAGUUGAGUUUGUUAACUGCUCUUUGAAUUAAAAACAUUAUCAUCUGAUUGUAUCAUAUCGUUAUUAUUAUUAUAAAUAUUAUAUCGCAGCUAUAUAAAAGCGUUUAUAGGAAGAAGAAGGAAGAAUACAAAGCGGAAUGAAUCAGUUUGAAAAUUUAAAGGAGGAAGACUGUGGUGAGCAGGAGGAGAUGAAGGACAGUAAUGAGACUGACGGAGGAUCAAUAAACAACAACAA